rnacentral:rRNA from 1 species
CCUACGGGAGGCAGCAGUGGGGGAUAUUGCACAAUGGGGGGAACCCUGAUGCAGCGACGCCGCGUGGGUGAAGAAGCGCCUCGGCGCGUAAAGCCCUGUCAGCAGGGAAGAAAAUGACGGUACCUGAAGAAGAAGCCCCGGCUAACUACGUGCCAGCAGCCGCGGGAAUACGUAGGGGGCAAGCGUUAUCCGGAUUUACUGGGUGUAAAGGGGGCGCAGACGGCGAUGCAAGCCAGGAGUGAAAGCCCGGGGCCCAACCCCGGGACUGCUCUUGGAACUGCGUGGCUGGAGUGCAGGAGGGGCAGGCGGAAUUCCUGGUGUAGCGGUGAAAUGCGUAGAUAUCAGGAGGAACACCGAUGGCGAAGGCGGCCUGCUGGACUGCAACUGACGUUGAGGCCCGAAAGCGUGGGGAGCAAACAGGAUUAGAUACCCGGGUAGUC